rnacentral:other from 1 species
GUCGCAUCAGAUUUCCUGGUGUAACGAAUUUUAAAUACUUCUUGCUCAGCAAGUUUAUCCCGGCGCCCCCGCCGGGAUA